rnacentral:rRNA from 1 species
UACGUAGGGUGCAAGCGUUGUCCGGAAUUAUUGGGCGUAAAGAGCUCGUAGGCGGCUUGUCGCGUCUGCCGUGAAAACCCGAGGCUCAACCUCGGGCGUGCGGUGGGUACGGGCAGGCUAGAGUGCGGUAGGGGAGAUUGGAAUUCCUGGUGUAGCGGUGGAAUGCGCAGAUAUCAGGAGGAACACCGAUGGCGAAGGCAGAUCUCUGGGCCGUAACUGACGCUGAGGAGCGAAAGCAUGGGGAGCGAACAGGAUUAGAUACCCUGGUAGUCCAUGCCGUAAACGUUGGGAACUAGAUGUAGGGCCUGUUCCACGGGUUCUGUGUCGUAGCUAACGCAUUAAGUUCCCCGCCUGGGGAGUACGGCCGCAAGGCUAAA